rnacentral:rRNA from 1 species
UAGGGAAUCUUCGGCAAUGGACGAAAGUCUGACCGAGCAACGCCGCGUGAGUGAAGAAGGUUUUCGGAUCGUAAAACUCUGUUGUUAGAGAAGAACAAGGACGUUAGUAACUGAACGUCCCCUGACGGUAUCUAACCAGAAAGCCACGGCUAACUACGUGCCAGCAGCCGCGGUAAUACGUAGGUGGCAAGCGUUGUCCGGAUUUAUUGGGCGUAAAGCGAGCGCAGGCGGUUUCUUAAGUCUGAUGUGAAAGCCCCUGGCUCAACCGGGGAGGGUCAUUGGAAACUGGGGGACUUGAGUGCAGAAGAGGAGAGUGGAAUUCCAUGUGUAGCGGUGAAAUGCGUAGAUAUAUGGAGGAACACCAGUGGCGAAGGCGGCUCUCUGGUCUGUAACUGACGCUGAGGCUCGAAAGCGUGGGGAGCAAACAGG